rnacentral:rRNA from 1 species
AAAUUGAAGAGUUUGAUCAUGGCUCAGAUUGAACGCUGGCGGCAGGCCUAACACAUGCAAGUCGAACGGUAACAGGAAGCAGCUUGCUGCUUCGCUGACGAGUGGCGGACGGGUGAGUAAUGUCUGGGAAACUGCCUGAUGGAGGGGGAUAACUACUGGAAACGGUAGCUAAUACCGCAUAACGUCGCAAGACCAAAGAGGGGGGCCUUCGGGCCUCUUGCCAUCGGAUGUGCCCAGAUGGGAUUAGCUAGUAGGUGGGGUAACGGCUCACCUAGGCGACGAUCCCUAGCUGGUCUGAGAGGAUGACCAGCCACACUGGAACUGAGACACGGUCCAGACUCCUACGGGAGGCAGCAGUGGGGAAUAUUGCACAAUGGGCGCAAGCCUGAUGCAGCCAUGCCGCGUGUAUGAAGAAGGCCUUCGGGUUGUAAAGUACUUUCAGCGGGGAGGAAGGGAGUAAAGUUAAUACCUUU